rnacentral:rRNA from 1 species
GGACCCGCACAAGCAGUGGAGCAUGUGGUUUAAUUCGAUGAUACGCGAGGAACCUUACCAGGGCUUAAAUGCAGAACGACAGAGGUGGAAACACCUCCUUCUUCGGACGGUCUGCAAGGUGCUGCAUGGUUGUCGUCAGCUCGUGCUGUGAAGUGUCGGGUUAAGUCCCAUAACGAGCGCAACCCCUAUUUCUAGUUGCCAGCGGUUCGGCCGGGGACUCUAGAGAAACUGCCAGCGUAAGCUGUGAGGAAGGUGGGGAUGACGUCAAAUCAUCACGGCCCUUACGUCCUGGGCCACACACGUGCUACAAUGGUGAGGACAGAGAGUUGCCAACCCGCGAGGGUGAGCUAA